rnacentral:rRNA from 1 species
CCUACGGGAGGCAGCAGUGGGGAAUAUUGCGCAAUGGGCGAAAGCCUGACGCAGCGACGCCGCGUGAGGGAUGAAGGUCUUCGGAUCGUAAACCUCUGUCAGCAGGGAAGAACGGUCACUGUGCUAAUCAGCAGUGACUUGACGGUACCUGAAAAGGAAGCACCGGCGAACACCGUGCCAGCAGCGGCGGUAAUACGCAGGGUGCGAGCGUUAAUCGGAAUUACGGGGCGUAAAGCGCUCGUAGGCGGUUUGUCAAGUCAAGGGUGAAAUCCCCGGGAUCAACGUGGGAACUGCCUUUGAAACUGGCAAACUGGAGUGUGUGAGAGGAUAGUGGAAUUCCAGGUGUAGGAGUGAAAUCCGUAGAUAUCUGGAGGAACAUCAGUGGCGAAGGCGACUAUCUGGCACAUAACUGACGCUGAGGAGCGAAAGCGUGGGUAGCAAACAGGAUUAGAUACCCUAGUAGUC